rnacentral:lncRNA from 1 species
CUAAAAAAAACACUACAAAGAGUUAUCAUAGACGUUAAUUUAAAAAGCCCAAAAGAUCAGAGGAACAAACCCUAAAAAGUGAAUGAAAAAAAAUUAAAAAGCCCAAAAGAUCGAGGAACAAACCCUAAAAAUUGAAUAAAAAGAAUUUAAAAAGCCCAAAAGAUCGAGGAACAAACCCUAAAAAUUGAAGAAAAAAAAGCGCUUGAAAUAUAUUUCUUUCAUCUAAUGAAAGAAAAUUGCACAUCGCAGAGAUAAACCUUUAGGAAGAUAUACCUUGAUUUAAAAAGCUCAAAAGAUCGUAGGAACAAAACCUAAAAAUUGAAUAAAAAAAAAAUUUAAAAAGCCCAAAAGAUCAAGGAACAAACCCUAGAAAUUGAAGAAAAAAAAACGCUUGAAAUAUAUAUCUUUCAUCUAAUGAAAGAAAAUUGCACAUGACAGAGAUAAACCUUUAGGAAGAUAUAAUGAACUCCUUUAAACUGAUCAGAGAAACUAAUUGAUAGAGGAGGAAGCCCAGAGCCCAAACCCCAAACCAACACCUCAACAGUCUAAGCGAGUACAAAAGAAUAAUUGAAUUUGCCCCAAUCCAAUACUUAAUAGCCCUAAGAAAGUACUAAACAGGAACCAAAUUUGCCCUAAGAAAGUACUAAACAGGAACCAAAUUUGCCUGCAAAACGCUGAAGGAAAACCCUAGAACCUACAAGAGAG